rnacentral:lncRNA from 1 species
AAACUAGAAAAAGAUAACAAGGCCUGCAAAAAAACUCUCAAGCAUGUGGCUGAUCAGGAGAAAACUCUGGACUUUAUAAGAUAUCAUCUCCUAUGUAGCCAACAACAAGGUUUGUAGCCAUAGGUCCAAAAGCUUUCUGAAUCGCUUGCAUCUUUUCAGCACGAAGAGUCUCUAAAUCCUUUAAUUUAGAUUUAGUAUCGUCAAUACAUGUCUGAAACUCUUGUAAUUUACUUUUGGCAUCAACAAUAUGACAGUCGAUUGCAUGAAGCUCCGAAAAUAGGGGCUGUGAAAACCGGGCCUGUUCUAUAUAGUUCAGACGACCCACAAGCCAACUCACAUUGAAUCCGAAUUCCUGCAACUCCGCAAAUACUUCCCUGUACUCAGCUAUCGUCUUAGUAUCAACAUCACUUAGAGAUAUUUUGGUAAAGUCAUUCACAGAGGUGCACAACAAAUUCAGCUUCAUUGUACCAAAUUUCUUGUUUUUAGUGGUAAAGUGCUCAAAGGUUUCUGGGUACUUAUCCAUAAUGCGAUCAAGCAGACAUACAAACUCACAGUAAACCUCAUGGCCCCGCCAUAACCUAAAAUCACUAUUAGUCCCAGAAGAACUUACCCGAUCACUGCCUGUCCUUUCAACUGUUGCACCAAUUUGUCGAACCCUCUCACUCUCACCAUCUAAUAAAGAGUUCUGCCCCACAAGCUCUUCCUGCACUCCCAUGUGUGCAGUGUCAACAAACACACUUUUAUGUAUGUAUUGAGAUCUUAUCAACACUUUAGUUGGAGAUCCUGGCUCUUGUGGCACCACAUUUUGAGCUUUCACAGUAGAUGCCUCUUUACAAGAAAUUAUAUUCUGGAAAACAAAUCAGAAAGUUUAGUGAAGCAUUCUGACUGAGACUUAAACAUAUGUACCUGUUUAUCAACAAAAGAAAUGUAACUUUCACAUAAAAUACUAUGCAGAAGAUGAGUAGACCACCUCAACAAAUAACAUGAGUUAUUAUCUUAGUCAACUUCUUCCACAAAGUGAAGCAAGAAUAUUUAGCUAAACAAUUGAGUUACCACCGUGCCAUUACUUUUAUAACAGCAAGACCACCUAGCAAGCUGGCAUCAGUGCAUCGCUUCAAUAGUUGAUGUGCAAAAACAUAAUUAUAACAUACGUAGGUAUAUUAGCCUCUGAACUCAAAGAUUGUUUUACUGGCUCUAACGUAGCCCAAAUGAUUUUUUGUUCCCACCCUCAGUCCCUCACUGUUCAAAACUCCUUUUAUUAAGAUUCCACUGGUUCCAUCUUCUUCUUGACUCUUUUCAAAUCAAUUUAAAUCUCAAGUUGAUUCACAUGUCUGUAUGUACAUGUGCAUUUGUGGGUGUAACUUUGACACAUAUACCCACACAGGUGAAUCCCCAAAGCUCUAAUUUAAUAAUGUAUAGAAAGAAAUUACUAAAGGCUUUCACUCAUCCUAAGAUCUACAGGUUUAUCGGGUAAGUACUUUAUUCAGUUCAGCUAUGAGAAGACCUAUUCAAGAAGUUUGGAAAUUUAUGAAUUUUAGACCUUCAAGAUAUUUCAACAAAUGAAAACUUAAACAGCAAUGUUUUAAAAAAACACAUGGAAGUUGGAACCUUUACAUUUCAUAUAUUAUCUUUAAACCUCAAUUACUCAAACAUUCCAGACUAAAACAUUGCUAAAUACUAGGCAAAAAGAUAUUCAACAGCCACAAUAGUGCCCAAACAAUCAUAGUUCAAAAUUUUUAAGUAUAACAAACAACUCCUACAACGUAAGUCCAAAUUUGAAGUAUACUGCUUCAAAAAAUUAAGGUCUUAUGUAAGCACAUGUUUAAACAUUAAGGUCAACCAUCAUAUUCAAGCUCUUUUCUUUUUGUACGUGCUCGUACAAAAACAAAAGAAAACAAAAUUCAGGAUAACGAACUAGCAGGAAACAAUGGUUAACUCAUACGUUAAUACAUUUUAAAGUGUUUUGCUUACCUGCUUUCAUAGUAUAAACUGUUUAUGCCUAUAAGAAACAAGACAAUGAGUGCAUCAAGUUACCAAGAAGGAUAAUCAAUAAGUUGAAUACCUGGGGCAAUGCUGUGACAAUGGUGGCUGCUGGGGAGCCACCAAGUAAGUAGCUUCUCAGAAUACUGGAUAUACUUGCCUCAUUACAUCCAAGUGGCAGCUUUACAUACUCCAAGUCAUAGAAUGGAGAAGGGAAACUUACAAGAAAGUCAGAAAUCGAGAGAAGUGCCUAAGAUGUGAUAAAAAAAAAAAAAGAGAGUAAUAUAUAAAACAUCAGGUGAAGGAAUUGUAAUCAAAAUCAACUAAAAUAGAAGCAAUAAUAUAGUAGCCUUUGUGUUUCCUUCCCAGAUUAUCAUAUUUUGCACAAAGAAAGAUCACAUAAAAGCUAAUGAGAAGGGGUAAUAAUCACUCUCUGUAAGGACAAGUCUAAAAAUGGUAACAACUGUCUACAAAAUAUAUUAGAAAAGGACAAUAAGUACACUUGUUUUCUUCAACAAACCAUGUAUGCGAGUUCCUAAGAAAGGAAUUUGUCCAUUUUUCGGGGUCAAGUUUUACUUGUGUACUUGGGAUGGAAUAAUGAAGCUCAUCGGUACAACCCGCAGGAGAUAAGAGAUGCUUGGUACAUAAAAUAUUAAUAGAAAUGACUAAUUCAUCACUAAACUGAGAGUGAUCCGUCUGACAAAAAAAAUAAAAUACCGAGAGUGUUACAAGUGUAAUCAAACAUGUUCAAAUAUGAAUCUCUCAUUAUUUUAAGAUAAAAACAGACUUUCUUAGUAACGAAGUACAUAGAUAUAUGUGUCAUCUUUAACAAUACUCCAUAUACUCGGUCCUUGUAACACUUGUAAAGGCGUGAAGGCAAAACAAGGUGCUAGUGCCUGCCUAGGCCAUAAGUCAAACAGAUUGUGCUCAAAUACAAACGGGCAUAUAUGAUGUAGACCUAUUUUGUUUAGUUUCAAUAUGAUUAUUUUAAUUUAAGAUCAUAUCAUUUGACAUAUUCUAUUAACUUUUAUUUUAUAUUUUAAUUGCUGUUAUCAAUAUAAUGAUUUAAUUGUAAUAAUUUAUAUUUAUAGAUUUAACCCACAAAAGACAAACUGCAAUGAGAUAAAGCAAAACAAUAUUAUGUAUUAGGAAAAUAGUUGAUAAGUGUUAGGAAUAUAGUUAAUACAUGUAGUUCAACACUUAAUUCACCAAGUGACUAGUGUACAUCUAGGCGAUGCCAAAUUCACAUAAUUUAGGCCUAGGCAACGACUAUUUCACCUACCCCAUUCAAACCAAUGCAAGUGUCUACCCGUGUUUGAUCACCUUUCUGUCCAGGGGUCACCUUGAUAUUAACUAUGCUCCUUAUGUAAUAUAUUUUUGAAGUACUUUAUCUCCCCAAAAUGCAAAAGACCAAGCCACAAAAAUUCCAAAAAAUAUUUGAUCCUAUUGUGUUCCUUAUAUAAAUUAUUAAUAAUAAAACUUCGAGUAAAUGAAAAUAUUGUUCUGUGUAUUAAGUAUUAACUCCAACAACCGUCUUUAUACUUGUUCCUUUACAAUAACAAUAACAAUAACAAUAACAAUAGUAAUAAUAAUAAUAAUAAUAAUAAUAAUAAUAAUAAUAAUAACAACAACAACAACAACAACAACAACAACAACAACAACAAUAACAAUAAUAAUUAUAAUAGUUAAUUUGACGAGAGAGAGGAAUGAAGACACAAAAGGAGGAAAAUGAAUAUUAUAUUGAUAAAAGUGAAUAAGGACCGACUCUAGCUUCCUUAGAAAUAAGGAAUGAGAUGGGUGUCUUAACUUUUGAAUAAACCACUACCACACCAUCAGAGCACAAUUUUCAACCAAAUUCCUUAAAUUUAAUGUUAGAAGCUCACAGACCUUAUAUAUUGGAGUUUCUUUUCGGAGCUAUUUUUUAAUGAUACCUCCUAACUUCUAACUUAGAAGUUUAGAUAGAAAGAGCCUAGAAGACGCUCUAUGGUGAUAACAAUAUUGGACCGAUCACAUUAUAUAAGAACCGGAGGAUGGGAUAUAUUACCAACGAAUUAAACAUCUGCUAAAGAUGUCAGAAAUUUUAUUUGCCAAAUUCACAAGUUAUAAUAUCAAUACUUUCAUAUCUUUGCUGAUAGAAGGAAGCAAAGGAAGACUAAUGUCGAUAAUUGCCAAAUUGCUAAGUAACUUACCUCAAUGAUCUCCAAGUCAAGACUAAGAAUCUUAGCACUACCAAGUCUUGGCAACAUACUUGUAAGCUGUUGAUAACAUUCUUUCAUCUUCUCCUGCGAGAAGCUUUUUGCAUCUAUCCAACCCUUUAGUCUUACAUUUACAUAGUCCAACUUCGAAUCCUCAAAAGUUACUGAGAAGAUACCAACAGAAGUAAAUUUUUUUAGCUUUGGAGCAAAAACCACAAUUGUACUACUAGGAAUCCCCUUGUAAUGGUUGUAGCGGGUCUCGAUCUCCAGGUUCACCAAUUCAGGACAAUGUACAAAACAACUACAUAUGGAAACGUUUUUGUAAUAUAAUUUAAGAUUUUGUAAACUGACAAGUGCAGCAAAUAGGUCCAUAUUCUCAGGAUAUUGUACAUCAUCAAGAGUUAGACUAGUCAAAGCUGGCAAAUCCCAAUCUUUAGUGGGCAAUUUACACAUACGCACAACGAGAGAUGUUAAUUCAGGUAAACGAAAAGCAAAGGACCGCAAAUCCCAACUUUCAAGCAACAGAUUUCUCAAGGCAGGCAAGCAGGUCACAUAUAUUUCCGCUAACUUCUCAAUGACAGACCGACUAAACUUACAACGUACUUUGCGUAUCAAACAAAGAGUCGAUAAAGCAGGUAAAUCCCAACAAUCUGAUUUUGAAAUACAUUCUUUAAGUUUAAUUAUUACUUCCAGUUUCUCAAUAGAUACAGAGUUAAAAUUGGAUAACUUAAAAGGCCUAUGUUCCGGAAGGAAAUGAACAUUUAAGUAUCGAACACGACGAGCAGUAGCAUAUCUAAUAAACUCAGCCAUUAAACCUUGAGGCAGCAUUUCCAUCUUCAGACAUGAAAUCUGGGAUUGAUAGUUUCGAUGAAUCAUUACCUGACGAGCUAAAUUACUUACUUUUGUAGAUGAAUAGCGUUUAUCCCAUUUAAAGUUAAGAAAGGGGAGAGUAGUCCAUACAAGCUUCCAUCGUUUGGAGAGAGCGCUGGUUUGGACACUUAUUUUGGUAUCUACAAACUUGAGAAUUUGAUGAAGCAAUUCAUCAGGCAAUUCGCUGAUUCUGUCUUCUCCAUCUUCACUUGUGAUUCUUGCUUUCUUCCUCUUCUCCAACCGACGGUUCAUUUUACUUCUUUUCUCAAACCCUAGCCCCUAAUUCAAUUUCCCCACCAAUAUGAUACUCUUCACAAAAGUUGCGUUUCUCCCAUGUUUAGAUUUGUUCUUUCUAUUUGUGGAGUUAUUCGGCAUAAAAUCAAAUAUUUAAAACUCUUUUCCUCCUUAAUACCACAAUUUUUUUAACUACUUCAAACGUAUAUUAAAAAUGGACAACUAAACAUAGAUUGGAUAAAAAACUAGGGUUUUCUCUCUGCCUCUCAAAAGUUUUGAGAGUCGACUCCCGUUUUUAGGGUUCUAGCUACCAUUUCUCCAUCUUCUAAAUCUUCAUCCCUUCAUCGAUUAAGCCAUUUUCGCUCUCCCAUCCUCUAUUUUGUAUUUCAGUUUUUCAAUAAACCAAGAUCCGUGAGAUCUUGUUGAGUACCUUGUUAUCAAGGCAGUGCCUAUGUUUUGGGAUGUUAGUAUGUCAUAUUUUGUGUUUUGUGUGUGUUUUUGUAUCGUUGUCGGAGGGUUUUCUAAAAAGGAUUCAUACGAUAUUGUGGGCGAUCUGUAAGACUCGCAUCGAUUCUGGGAUGACGGUGGAUAUCGCAAAAGCUCACCUUUCACAACAAAAAUUUGUUCAUAUUUUGGGAGUCUUUGUUGCUCCAAUAUCAGUCAAUAUAACUGAUAGUUCUGAACGUUGGGCUACAGAUGAUGCUUAUGUGAAGGUCAAUUGUGAUGCUACCAGUUUCAUAGGUGAUGUAGGUUGGAUUGCUCUAUAUGUCAUUGUAUUACUUUUUAGAUCAAAGAAUUUAAAUAUUCUAUGUGUUAAGCGAUCUGAAAACAAAACGGCUAUUUGGUUAGCUCGUUUUUUGUUUCACGAUCAGAUUGUAGUUGAUAGUUCGGGGGUUUGUACCGGCUGGAUUCCGAUGAGUGAUAUCCGUUAAUAAAAUCAUUUGUUUGUCAAAAAAAAACAUAGAUUGGAUUAUUAUUUUUUUGCAACAUAAUUUGAAUAAUAAAAAAAUAUUGUUAAAUUUCAUCAAAAAAUGCUCAAGAAUGAUAUGAAAAUAUGAAAUGGACAACUAUAAAAAGAUUGGAUAUGUUUUUCAAUUUUUCAAAAAAAAUGAAAAUUAUCACUUAAAAUUAUAUUUACGAAUUCAAUUUCAUAUUUUAGAAUUAAAACUUGUUAUUCUAUUUCAAAAAAAAAAACACACUUGUUAUUCUUAUAUCUAGUACUUAUUCAAUAUAAACUUUAGCGUAAAUAUCAAUUUUAUAAGUGAGGUUAACUCCUGAUAAUUACCAGAAACUUAAAACUUCAAACACAAGGACAUUUUAACAUAAAGUCUACAUGCAGGAUGACAAUAGAUACCAGAGACUUGAAUACCUGAGUAGAAUACACAUAAAAGGCAUACAAACAAAUCUUAAACAUGCGACUCAUCAUGAGAAAACUAAGGGUUUGUGAUCGUAAGUCCAAAAGCUUUCUGAAUCUCUUCCAUCUUUUCAGUACGGAGAGUCUCCAGAGCCUUCAAUUUAAUUUUACUAUCAUCAAAAAGUUCAAAGGUACCAAAGACUUGAGCACCUGAAACUAUAAAAAGUUAAAAGGCCUACAAAAAAAACUCUCAAGCAUGUGACUGAUCAGGGGGAAACUCUGGACUUGACAAGAGAUCAUCUCCUACGUAGCCAACAACAAGGUUUGUAGCCAUAGGUCCAAAAGCUUUCUGAAUCGCAUGCAUCUUUUCAGCACGAAGAGUCUCUAGAUCCUUUAAUUUAGAUUUAGUAUCAUCAAUACAAACCUGAAACUCUUGUAACUUACUUUUGGCAUCAACAAUAUGACAGUCGAUCGCAUGAAUCUCCGAAAGUAGGGGCUGUGAAAACCGGACCUGUUCUAUAUAGUUCAGACGACCCAAAAGCCAACUCACAUUGAAUCCGAAUUCCUGCAACUCCGCAAAUACUUCCCUGUACUCAGCUAUCGUCUUAGCAUCAACAUCACUCAGAGAAAUUUUGGUAAAGUCAUUCACAGAGGUGCACAACAUAUUCAGCUUAAUUGUACAAAAUUUCUUGUUUUUAGUGGUGAAGUGCUCAAAGGUUUCUGGGUACUUAUCCAUAAUGCGAUCAAGCAGACAUACAAACUCACAGUAAACCUCAUGGCCCUGCCAUAACCUAAAAUCACUAUUACCCCCAGAAGAACUUACCCGACCACUGCCUGUCCUUUUAACUGGUGCACCUAUUUGUCUAACCCUGUCACCAUCUAAUAAAGAGUUCUGCCCCACAAGCUCUUCCUGCACUCCCAUGUGUGCAGUGUCGACAAACACACUUUUAUGUACAUAUUGAGAAUUAAUCAACACUUUGGUUGGAGAUCCCGGCUCUUGUCGCACCACAUUUUGGGCUUUCACAGUAGAUGCCUCUUUACGAGAAAUUAUAUUCUGGAAAACAAAUCAGAAAGUUUAGUGAAGCAUUCUGACUGAGAGUUAAACAUAUGUACCUGUUUAUCAACAAAAUAAAUUUGUUUCACAUAAUAUGCUAUGCAGAAGAUGAGUAGACCACUUUAGCAAAUAACAUGAGUUAUUAUCUUAGUCAACUUCUUCCACAAAGUGAGGCAAGAAUAUUUAGCUAAACAAUCGAGUUACCACCGUGCCAUUAGUUUUAUAACAGCAUUACAGCAAGACCACCUAGCAAGCUGGCAUCAGCACAUCGCUUUAAUAGUUGAUGUUUAAAAACAUAAUUAUAACAUAAAGGUAUAUUAGCCUCUGAACUCAAAGAUUGUUUUACUGGCUCUAACGCAUCCCAAAUGAUUUUUUGUGCCCACCCUCACUGUUCAAAACUCCUUUUAUCUAGUUUCUACUGGCUCCAUCUUCUUCUUAACUAUUUCCAAAUCAGUUUAAUCUCAAGUUGAUUAUUUGUGGGUGUAGCUUUGACACAUAUACCUACACAAGUGAAUCCCCAAAGCUCUAAUUUAAUAAUGCAUAAAAAGAAAUUAGUAAAGGCUUUCACUUAUCCUAAGAUCUACAGGUUUAUAGGGAAAGUACUUUAUUCAGUUCAGCUAUGACAAGACCAAUUCAAGAAGUUUGGAAAUUUAUGAAUUUUAGACCUUCAAGAUAUUUUAACAAAUGAAAACCUGGACAACAAUGUUUUAAGAAAACAUAUGGAAGUUGCAACCUUUACAUUUUAUAUAGUAUUUUUAAACCUCAAUUACUCAAACAUUCCAGAAUUAAACAUGCUAAAUACUAAGCAAAAAAAUAUUCAACAACCACAAGUCCACAAUAGUGCCCAGACAAUCAUAAUUCAAAAUUUUAAGUAUAACAAACAACCCCUACAAAAUAAGUCCAAAUUUGAAGUAUACCGCUUCAAAAAAUUAAGGCCUUAUGUAAGCACAUGUUUAAACAUUAAGGUCAACUAUCAUAUUCAACCUCUUUUCUUUUUGUACGUGCUCGUACAAAAACAAAAGAAAACAAAUUUGUGUAUACGUAAAAAAACCGAAUAGUAAAUAAAUGACCUACAUCUUAAGAAGUUGAGAUUUUGUCAAAAUAGCUGUUGUUAUUCAGAAUAUAUAUGGUCAUGAACUAGCAGGAAACAAUGGUUAACGCAUAAGUUAAUACAUUUAAAGUGUUUUGCUUAUCUGCUUUCGUAUUAUAUAUUGUUUACUUCAUGAAACCUAAUUGUUCAUAGGUCAUGACCAUUUAUAUCAAAAUCAAAUUGAGGCUAAAACCUUCCCAUAAUAAGACUACAAGCUAAUUUAUUAGCACUUCUUUCUUAGGAGAAUUUGCUAUAAUUAAUAGCACAAAUAAACAAAAUUCAAAUAUUUCUACAGAGACUUAAAAAUCAAUAUAUGUAGAUCAACCAUUUAUGCUCAUGCUCUCCAGUCAGAAGAACAUGAUGUAAAGGAGAUAUAUCUGGUAUGACUACAUAAAUGCUAAAUGCACUGUUUAUGCAUACAGAAAACAAGAUAAUGAGUGCAUCAAGUUACCAAGAAGGAUAAUCAAUAAUUUUAAUACCUGUGGCAAUGCCGUGACCAUGGUGGCUGCUGGGGAGCCACCAAGUAAGUAGCUUCUCAGAGUACUGGAUAAACUUGCCUCAUUACAUCCAAGUGGCAGCUUUACAUACUCCAAGUCACAGAAUGGAGAAGGGAAACUUACAAGAAAGUCAAAAAUCCAGAGAAGUGCCUAAGAAAUAAUAAAAAAACAAAGAGCAAAAUAUAGAACAUCAGUUGAAGGAAUUGCAAUCAAUAUCAACUAAAAUAAAAAGUAAUAAUAUAGUAGCCUCUGUGUUUCCUUCCCAGAGUAUCAUAUUCUGCACAAACCAAUAUCACAUAGAAGCUAACGAGAAGGGGGGAUAAUCACUCUCAGUAAGGACAAGUCUAAAAAUUGCAACUGUCUACAAAAUAAAAUUGAAAAGGAUAAUAUAUAAACUUGCUUUUUUUUGCUAAAUAUUAUGUGCACUUGUUUCCUUCAACAAACCACAUAUGACAUAUGCAUGUCAAGUUUUAUUUGUUGACUUGGGAUGGAAUAAUGAAGCUCAUCGGUACAACCCGCAAGAGAUGGGAAAUGCUUGGUACAUAAAAUAUUACUCCCUCCGUCCCCUUGAAUAAUAUACAUAUGAAAUGUACACGGAGACUAAGAAAAGUGUAUAAAGUAGUAUGAAAUAAUGGGAAAGAGAAAGAAAAGUGGGUAUAAUGGUGGGACCCAUUAAUUUUUAAUAUAUAAAAUAGAGAUAGUGGAGUAAAAAGUAGUGUGAAAAGGAAAGAAAAGUGAGAAAGUGGUGGGAAUCACUCAGAGAAAUUUUGGUAAAGUCAUUCACAGAGGUGCACAACAUAUUCAGCUUAAUUGUACAAAAUUUCUUGUUUUUAGUGGUGAAGUGCUCAAAGGUUUCUGGGUACUUAUCCAUAAUGCGAUCAAGCAGACAUACAAACUCACAGUAAACCUCAUGGCCCUGCCAUAACCUAAAAUCACUAUUACCCCCAGAAGAACUUACCCGACCACUGCCUGUCCUUUUAACUGGUGCACCUAUUUGUCU